UUUAAGUGCAACCAUGAGUUUUCGUGCCUAACUUUAAUCGUCUGUCUUAUUUGAAAAUUUUUUAUAAUUAAUAUUUUUGUUGUUAUGAGAUGAUAAAAUAUUAAUAGUACUUUAUGCAUGAUUUAUGUUUUUAAUAUUUUUUUAAAAAUUUUUAAAUAAGACAGACGAUUAAAGUUGAGCACAGAAAAGUAUGGCGGCACUUAAA
rfam:Oryza glumipatula chromosome 2, whole genome shotgun sequence.